GUUUGUUUCUUUGUUUGUUUUAAUUUCAGGAUCAUUUCUUUGCUGUAGAUAGGAGAAAUCUCAUAAAUUAUUUGCAGCCUCAUCUCUGUGUAAAAGUCACGAGAAUGGAAAAGAGAAGGCGGACUGGAGAGAGUGUUGCAUCUUCUUUCAUUUUGACAAGGUAUGCAUUUCUAUUCAGCUUCAGGACAUGUAGUGCCUGGAAAAGGAAAUCAACUGAACGUGUGGUUCAGCACAGGAUCCUGAAAAGCACAUAGCAUUUGCAUUUGUUUCCUUCCAUCACUCAGAGUAGCAGUUGGCAUUUUACCACAGGAGAGAAAAAUUUAAUACUGACUGCUUUUAAGAAUACAAAGUGAUCAAUAAUAAAGAGACCGAUGUGACAACCAGGAAUGUCACCAUGCUCCACAGCUAUGGUGGUCCAGCUACACCACAAGCCUCAGGACGUAAUGGGAGAAGCGAGACUGAGGAAGAUGGAAAAGAACAGACACAAUAUAGCAGAGAAUGUUAAUCAUGAUUAAGCUGGACAGUGAGGAAAAAUACACAGCUGCAAGGAAAGUUCCAGCCACUACAGUCACUACACACACUUACAUAGCAGAUUGUGAAGCUGUUGGACAAAAGAAAGUAGUUAAAGCAGUUCCACAAUGACAGAUACAAACUGUCUGCAUUUCCUGACAAUGACUGAGGUUGGUCCCUCUUGGAAAAAGGCCUCUUCAGCUAGCAGGGAGCUC